CGUAGGGGGCUAGCGUUAUCCGGAUUUACUGGGCGUAAAGGGUGCGUAGGCGGUCUUUCAAGUCAGGAGUGAAAGGCUACGGCUCAACCGUAGUAAGCUCUUGAAACUGGGAGGCUUGAGUGCAGGAGAGGAGAGUGGAAUUCCUAGUGUAGCGGUGAAAUGCGUAGAUAUUAGGAGGAACACCAGUUGCGAAGGCGGCUCUCUGGACUGUAACUG
rnacentral:rRNA from 1 species